UACGUAGGUGGCAAGCGUUGUCCGGAUUUAUUGGGGUUAAAGGGUGCGUAGGCGGUUUCAUAAGUCAGUGGUGAAAUACGGCAGCUCAACUGUCGAGGUGCCAUUGAUACUGUGAGACUUGAGUACAGACGAGGUAGGCGGAAUUGACGGUGUAGCGGUGAAAUGCUUAGAUAUCGUCAAGAACACCGAUAGCGAAGGCAGCUUACUAGGCUGUAACUGACGCUGAGGCACGAAAGUGUGGGGAGCAAACAGG
rnacentral:rRNA from 1 species